GCCCGGAUAGCUCAGUCGGUAGAGCAGGGGAUUGAAAAUCCCCGUGUCCUUGGGUCGAUACCGAGUCCGGUCA
rnacentral:tRNA from 1 species